AGGGAGAGAAAAUACUGUAGUGAGGUUAUGUGGUGCAGGGUAAAGGUUGAGGGAGAGAAAAUACUGUAGUGAGGUUAUGUGGUGCAGGGUAAAGGUUGAGGGAGAGAAAAUACUGUAGUGAGGUUAUGUGGUGCAGGGUAAAGGUUGAGGGAGAGAAAAUACUGUAGUGAGGUUAUGUGGUGCAGGGUAAAGGUUGAGGGAGAGAAAAUACUGUAGUGAGGUUAUGUGGUGCAGGGUAAAGGUUGAGGGAGAGAAAAUACUGUAGUGAGGUUAUGUGGUGCAGGGUAAAGGUUGAGGGAGAGAAAAUACUGUAGUGAGGUUAUGUGGUGCAGGGUAAAGGUUGAGGGAGAGAAAAUACUGUAGUGAGGUUAUAUGGUGUACGAUAAAGGUUGAGGGAGAGAAAAACUGUAGUGAGGUUAUAUGGUGUACGAUAAAGGUUGAGGGAGAGAAAAUACUGUAGUGAGGUUAUGUGAUGAAAGUUAAGGAUUGAGGGAGAGAAAACGCUGGAAUGAGGUUAUGUGGUGUAGAAGGCGAGUAAUAUAUUGUGCCGCGUGGGAAGGGAUGCAUGUAAAGACUAGCGGAGAGAGCGAGGGUAGAGGACUUGGCUAAGGAAAAGGUUACGACGGAAAUGGAGGAGGAA